rnacentral:rRNA from 1 species
AUUGAACGCUAGCGGCGUGCUUAACACAUGCAAGUCGAACGGCAGCGCGGGUAGCUUGCUACCUGGCGGCGAGUGGCGGACGGGUGAGUAAUGCGUAGGAAUCUGCCUUAUAGUGGGGGAUAACCCGGGGAAACUCGGGCUAAUACCGCAUAAUCUCUACGGAGCAAAGCAGGGGACCUUCGGGCCUUGCGCUGUAAGAUGAGCCUACGUCGGAUUAGCUAGUUGGUAGGGGAAAGGCCUACCAAGGCAAUAAUCCGUAGCUGGUCUGAGAGGACGAUCAGCCACACUGGGACUGAGACACGGCCCAGACUCCUACGGGAGGCAGCAGUGGGGAAUAUUGCACAAUGGGCGCAAGCCUGAUGCAGCCAUGCCGCGUGUAUGAAGAAGGCCUUCGGGUUGUAAAGUACUUUCAGCGGGGAGGAAGGCGGUGAAGUUAAUAACUUCACCGAUUGACGUUACCCGCAGAAGAAGCACCGGCUAACUCCGUGCCAGCAGCCGCCGUAA